rnacentral:sRNA from 1 species
CGCAUCUGCACUCGACGUGUAGCUCACUGUAUCUUGGUAGAAGGAUCCCCUUUUGAUGGAAGGGAUAGUCGAUUGUGAUGAGGAUAUAGACGAAAAUGCGCUAAAUCAAUUCUUCAGUCUACAUUCCCCGUGGCAAUUCCUUAAACCCCUCACACAUACCCAUAUGGAAUGACCUGCGUAUUCAACUUAACCCCAGUUAAUUCAAAGCCGGAGGAUGACCCACUUCCAACACACUCCAACCUUGCCGAAUGACUUCCAAAACUUGAAGUAAGCACUGCGACGCCGGAACUGGUUGAGCAACUUUGGAGUGAUCCAUCAAGACCCGCUUGCACGGAGUAGGACGUUGAGGAUGACCAGUAAAAUGCAAUAUCGCUAACUUGGAAAUCGGUCAACUAUGACUACUGAACAUUCUAGGCAACUCACAGUAUAACGAAUCUAUCUGGACGGCAAACGUUGAAGAUCCUUCACAUCCGCUUGAGCCAUUCUCAAUCUGGAACCAUGCUGAACCUGAGGCACCAUUUCGUGAAGGUGUAUAGGCUAAUAGCGACUGAUCUGGCCAUCCGCAAAUGUUCUGUGUCCCUCGCGACUUAGUCGAAUUAUGAGAUCCGGUAACCUAGCAGGGACACGCUAUUAGGCCUCGAACUGUCAUGUAUCGUUUCAUACACUUUGCACCACUAUUAUUAAAACCUUGGAAACUCGUCUUUUGGUGAUACAUCGCAAAGGAUGGACAUCAGUCACAAAGGACGGUGGUACGUGACAUUUGUCGCGGACCCUCACACCUCCGAGUCGCAUAGUUGUAAAGGAAGGAGGGUUGUAUGGAUUGUUUGGCCUUCAAUAGUGGAUUUUCCCUUCAGGACUAAGAUAUAAAUAACUCGUCGUCCACCAACAUCGGUUUUCAAACAGCAUCGAAGAACUACCUGCGAACAUAGACUAUUAAGAACAGCCUUGAAGACCUGCUACCAGCAGUGCUGUACAUUGCUUGACGCACAUAACAAACACAUACAUCAAGCAAGUCCUCUUAUAGCUGUUCACGUUACACAUGUGAGGCGCUAACUGCCAGCAGAAUGAUCGUCUAUUCCGCGGCUGGCCCUCUGGUUUCCUCCAUGCCCUUCUACACUGGCAUUCAUGGCGGUCUUUACAAUGGCUGGGGUCGAUAUGGCUUUGGACCAAAUUAUGGAACAGGUUGGACAGGAUCCUGGUACGGACCUUAUAACUACAUGUCUGGUACCUACUGGUAAUUGAGAUAGUAUCGCGUUUCCACGAUACAUUAUGUUUCAGCAGAAGAGAAAGAGGAAAUAAGUGAAAGAAGAAGUGUUUGUUGUUAUUUUACCUAUUCAUAAAGCCGUGUACAAAUAGUCGCGUUUCUGUAUCAUGACUCGAUGUAUACCGUGCCGUCCGC